UACGAAGGGGCUAGCGUUGCUCGGAAUCACUGGGCGUAAAGGGUGCGUAGGCGGGUCUUUAAGUCAGGGUGAAAUCCUGGAGCUCAACUCCAGAACUGCCUUGAUACUGAAGAUCUUGAGUUCGGGAGAGGUGAGUGGAACUGCGAGUGUAGAGGUGAAUUCGUAGAUAUUCGCAAGAACACCGGUGGCGAAGGCGGCGAGCUGGUCCAUUACUGACGCUGAGGCGCGACAGCGU
rnacentral:rRNA from 1 species